rnacentral:lncRNA from 1 species
AUCUCAUUAAAACUCACUCCCCAAAACCUAAAAGAGGAGGAUCAGAUGAAAAAACCCUCCUCUCUUGAACAAGAAGCGGCGCACCUCUCUGUUCUUGAGCUAAAAGAAACGAACACCCUCCCCUUCUUCUUCUCUAUUCCCUCCUCACAUUACCCUCUCACCCUUCAACACCACCUUACACACACACACACGAGAAAAUGGCUAAAUAAUAGAUUGAGAUUUUGAGAAAUCAAAUCAAGAUCUGAGAGUUUAGGAGCUCGAAAAAAAUACAAAGGAGCAUAGACGAGUUUUUAAAGUUCAAAUCUGUUCUCCUGGGUUUACAAGAGCUGUAGAGGAUUAUUAAGUGCCCCUGCUGUUGUUUUGAAAUUGGCUGAGCUUUGUCCGUUAAUUUCUGGCUUUAAUUGGGUCUUCUCAAUUACUGUUUUCCUGAGAUAAAGGUAAACAACAUGAACUUUUGUAUGUUUCUGCUUUUCAAUGAUAAUAAGCUAUGGAUUCCCAUCACAAACCUGACUUCGUAUGCUCGAUUCCAUGCCUUAUUCUUGUGAACAUUGUCAUAUAUGUUCCAUCUUCGUUUUUCUUUUAAUGGCUAUCUCUUUUCAUCUGUUUUCUAUGGUCUUAGAUCUGGAGUUCGAUGCUAGUUCGCUCUUUCGAGAUUCAUGACUAAUUUUUAACCAAUUGUAUGAUUGAUAUUGAUUCCCUUUAUUCUUGCAAUUAACAUAUUUACUUCAUUUUUAAAUUUACAUUUCAAUUUAUUUAAUCUCCCAUGACUAUUUUAAAUCCCAUGUUACCUCCUAGCCAUACACGAUGAAGUAAUUUUCUUGUGGUAAAACUGAUUAAACAUGUGCUCUUCCUUGUUAGAAUUCUAGAGUUAGUAAAGUGUCAUGUGUUCGGAAUCUGUAUUUCGUCCCUAAAAUUUGAAUGCCUAUGCUCAAGUAUACUUUGCUUUAUUUGACCGAAUUUGGAAGCUACUUGGGCAAUAUGAUCUAAAACUACACCGGAGCCAUGUUUACUAGAUAUAUUUAUUUUUUGGAACCAUGUUAACAUCCGAACUUUAGAAUACUCAAUGACAAUUGGCACGCACGAAAGCUCUUUAAACCUUAAGCUCUUUGGAACCGUGUGACUCUUUGAGGGGUUCUCAAUAAUUUUCCAUUUGAUAUUCUUCUCUUCAAACCUCAAGUUUUGUUUCAUGGUUUCUGCAAUUGUCUUGUGGGUAUAUUUGCAUGGCCUCACAACAAUCUUGAACUUAGGAAAUGAAUAAUUAUGAACAUGCGCUAGUUUCCAUUUGUGUUGUUCAUUGUUCUUUAGUUUUCUGUUGAUUUGAUAUGCUAAAUAUCUGUUUCGAUCAAGUGGUGGAAAAUUUGUUUUGAAAAACUGAUUAGCAUCCGAGAGAAUGAUGUGCGUUACGUACUUCUUAGAGAUUGAAGUUUGUUUGCUUUAGUCAAAGAUUGAAGUUUGUAUCUUAGCCCCUUGUCCUACAUGUAAUGGUUCAUUAGUUUUAGAAUGACAAUUAGUAGACAAAUAUGAAAUAUUGUAAUGCUCACAACAGGUACUAGAUUGAUCAAGUAGUAAGGUACAUAAUUCUUUUUAUCAAGAUUUAGACAUCAGUUUGUUAAGUUGUUUUUUAUUUUAUUUUAUAAAAUCAAGAUUUAGAGAAUCAGUAGCAAGUAUAUGAUGGCUAAUUGUUUAGUUGACUAUUAAGCUACCUAAGCAUUAAUAUAUAAGUUGUUUCUGUUUGUGCUUUAUGAAAGAAAGACGUGUGCUUUGAGCUGAUUCCAUCAUUCUUUUUACCUGUUAUGAUUUGAUUUAUCUAUAAAAUUGACUGUUUUAAACCAUAGACUGAGUUGGAUUCAUUUUUUGCUAUACAUGAAUAUCCCAGUAAGAUUUGUUUAUUGCUAUCAUGCUAUGUCAUUUCUCUUCUUUUUUUCCCUCUCACACGGACAAUCCAAAAUGUUUGAUUUUCUUCAUUGGAUCUCACUGUGUUUAUGUAGUGGUAGUGGUUUCUUUUUUAGUUUUAUGAAAACAUUUAAAGAUAUUUUGUUCAUGUUUUUGGAAUUCUUGAGAGGUUAAGUACUCAAAAUUUGACAUUUCUUAUUCUUAAUUCUUGUGGUUAUUUUGCAGCCAAAGAGAAGUUGAAAAUAUUUGUUGUGUAACAUCGAGUAAGUAGUUUAUACACCAGUACUUAUUUCUUAUUCUUCGGGGGUAAAUUUAUUAGAAAUUUACUUAAUUAAUCUAAAAAUGCAAAACUAAAUUCUAAAUGCAGAUGUUAUAUUUUUGUAUUUUCAAUGCAUUAAUUAAAUAUGCACAAAAUAUGCAAACACUUAAGCAAAUUACACAGUAAUUCCUAAUUUUAACAAAUAAUUAGAUAAAAAUCUAAUUUGAAAGACUGAUUAGCAUCCUUUGUUCUACAGGCGGGUUCCUGAUUACUCGAACUUGAAUUGCUUCUUCCUUUCGUUCUCCAGGCGGGCUUCUGACUACUUGACAUUUGGAUUGUAUUCCUUUGUUCUCCAGGUGGGCUCCUGAUUGCUAAAACUCGAAAUGUAUUCCCUUAUUCUCCAGGUGGGCUCCUGAUUGCUAGAUUUGAAAUGUAUUCCCUUGUUCUCCAGGUGGGCUCCUGAUUGCUAGAUUUGAAAUGUAUUCCCUUGUUCUCCAGGUGGGCUCCUGAUUGUUGAAACUUGAAAUGUAUUCUCUUGUUCUCCAGGUGGAUGCCUGAUUGCUGAUACUUCAACUGUUGUUCCUUGUUCUCCAGGUGGACGCCUGAUUGUUGAUACUUCAAUUGUUCUUCCUUAUUCUCCAGGUGGAUGCAUGAUUGCUAAUAUUUCAACUGUUAUUCCUUGUUCUUCAGGUGAACGUCUGAUUGCUGAUAUUUUAACUGUUUUUUCUUGUUCUCCAGGUGGACGUCUGAUUGCUGAUAUUUCAACUGUUUUUCUUUGUUCUUCAGGUGGACCGCCUGAUUGCUAGUAUUUGGUCAUGCUCUUAUCUUUAACAUCCGUGUUGUUCUCCCUGUUCUUCAUAUGAGUACCUGAUUUCAACAAAAAUAGACAAAACAAAAGAAAUUUUCUGCCCCAGUUUGGUAGUUGGGCGCAUCUGUGAGUGUUAAACUGAAUCAUAUUACCAAAUAUUACUAAGAAUUUGAAAGCUAGGUCCCAUUAUCCAAGGGGGGUCCUGAUAACUCUUAACUAAACGACAAUUUUAAAUCUAAGUUAUAUCUUUUAAAGGUAUGACUUCUGCUAAAUCUUGUUAUCUAAGGUCUUAAACUACUCCCCAUUAUCCGGGAGGGUCCUGACAACUCUUAAUUAGCGACCAUUUUAAAGCUAAAUUAUAUCUACUGAAGGUAUGUCUUAUGUUAAAUCUUGUUAUCCAAGCCAGUUUUAAACUACGUCCCAUUAUCCAGGAAGGACCUGACAAUCAAAAAUCAAGACUUAUCUUAAGAGUGACAAUUUUACGGCUAAAUUGUACUCUCUUAUAACAACAUUUAUCUAAUUGAAUGCUUAAAGUUACGUCCCAUUAUUCAUGUGGGUCCUGAAAAUUGUUAUGCGAACUUUGAAGCCAACUUAUAUCCCUUUUGGUGCACAUUUGUCCUAUAUUCACUACUUAUAUUUUUUUCUGGAUUUUAACCUAGGUCCUAUUUUACAAUAGGGUCCUGAAGUUUCGAAUUGAGGCUUGUCUUAAAAAAAUAAAAAAUUCAAAUCAACUUAUAUUUUCACGAAGUAGAACUUAUGUUAGAUCUUGUACUCAUGAAUGUUUUGAAUUAAAGCUAAGUCUCAUUUUUCAGGAGGGUCCUGAGAAUUUAUACGAUCAAACCUGCAUGGUACUUGCUUUCCUU